UUACGACCAUAUAACGUUAAAACACCGGUUCCCUUACGAUCACUGAAUUUAAGCAACGUCGACCCUGGUCAGUACCUAGAUGGGUGACUGCUUGGAAAUAUCAAGUGCUAUA